AUCCAGACUCCUACGGGAGGCAGCAGUGGGGAAUAUUGGGCAAUGGGGGGAACCCUGAUCCAGCGACGCCGCGUGAGUGAAGAAGUAUUUCGGUAUGUAAAGCUCUCUCAGCAGGGAAGAAAGAAAUGACGGUACCUGACUAAGAAGCCCCGGCUAACUACGUGCCAGCAGCCGCGGUAAUACGUAGGGGGCAAGCGUUAUCCGGAAUCACUGGGUGUAAAGGGAGCGUAGACGGCUGUGCAAGCCUGAAGUGAAAGGCGGGGGCCCAACCCCUGGACUGCUUUGGGAACUGUACGGCUGGAGUGCAGGAGAGGUAAGUGGAAUUCCUAGUGUAGCGGUGAAAUGCGUAGAUAUCAGGAGGAACACCAGUGGCGAAGGCGGCUUGCUGGACGAUGACUGACGUUGAGGCUCGAAAGCGUGGGGAGCAAACAGGAUUAGAUACCCGGGUA
rnacentral:rRNA from 1 species